AGUAAAAGAAACAAAGCAACAUUAUUUCAAAACAAGCUUAUUCGAAAUUUUUCAUCUCGCUCUAGCUCAUUGGCUUUAUUUCGAAAACUUCGACAAGUCGAUGCGAGUUCGGUCGGUUCGGUCGUGAAACAAAAAAAACGCGAAAAUCGGAAAAUUACAAAUGGUGCUUCCGUCGUGAUAGCUUCAAGUUUAUUGCGUGCUAAUAACACCGAUCGUCGUUGCUUAUAUCCUGAGCUUGGCAUCAAUACAAGCCCUUGAAAAGACCAGCACCACGGGAUGCCCGCGUAAAACAGAUUGGUCCGGAGAGUAUGUUCGGGGCACCGACUAUUGCUAUAGUCUGAUCCUGCCUUGAUACAGCUCGCACCAGGUAAUGAGAAGAUCUGCGCUAAUAACUUCGAGCUCAAGAAAUGCGUUGCUUUAAGGAUGACAUUGAAGGCGGAACUGGGCACUUUCACACGUCAAGUUAAAGUUGGUGGUGCUUUCAAGAUGCUUUCGAGAUGGAAGUUGCUCAGAUUUGCAGGAGUCGGGAAAGUGGAUUGAAAACGAGAUCGACAUGUACCCAAGCAUGCACCAGUUAAGACGUUUCCGGGAUCUGCAUCGUGGAAGAACAUUAUUCUGUUCCCAUAGGUCAUUCCAGCUGGCUGCUUCUGCUUAUUUAGGAUUAUGGCGGCAUGGAACUUUCACUACACUGCCUCGUUAACUGCUAUGAUUCCACUGGAUUCCAUUGAUUGAUCUGAUCGAUUUUAUUGGAUUAUAUGAUAGCUUUGAAUAGAUUGGUCUGAUUGGUUGAAUUGCUUGUGUUGAAUGAGUUGAAUGUGUUGGUUUGGAAAAUUAGAUUGCUUCGAUCAAAUUAAAUUAUUGGAUUAUUUUGCUUGAUUGGACUAUAGGUAUUAAUUGAAUGGAUUGAUUUGAUUUCUCUGCUUGAAUGGAUUGUUACGAUAGAAUGGAUUGCAUUGAUUGAAGAGAUUACUCCAAUUGAUUGGAUCGCUUCGAUUGAAUGAACUGCUUUGAUUGAAUGAAAUGUUUUCAUUAGAAUGGAUUGUCUUGAUUGAUUGGAUUGAG